CGGACCUGGUAAGGACAAGCACUCCUGCCUUCAUGCCCAAAUGUUGCAUUUCCCAAGACCAUUCUGGCCCACCAUGUUGAGAGAAGCAUAUUGGUGGAGCAACACAGAGGUGGCUGGACGUUGAGAGGAAUGCACUGUCAGGUGCCAGCACAAGGGCAGGCCACUGGCCAAAGUGGAAUGAUGUGGAGUUUGGCCAGAGUGGUUGAAGAGGAGUCCCACCGCUGGAGAAGAGUUGCACCACCAAUGUCCCAGCUCUAGGGGAAAGCCAUCUCCCUUCUGGCUUCCAAUCUGCUGAGAACUACUCCCACUCAAUAAAACCUUGCACUCAUUCUUCAAGUCCACAUGUGAUCUGAUUCUUCCCCUACACCAAGGCAAGAAACCCUGGGAUUGAGAAAGCCCUCUGUCCUAGUGACAAGGUAUAGGGUCUAAUUGAGUGGGUUAACAUGAGCCACCUGUAGACAGCAAACUCAGAGAGCACGUCGUGACACACUCCCACUGGUGCCUCAGAUGUAAACAUUCACCCCAUACACUGCCGUAGGGUCAGAGCCCCACAACCUGCCCAACUGAAGAAGUGAGCUGCACCCCCACUGCAUGCCCUGUGAGGGGAACAAGAGAACAUUUCCGGUUUCAAUUACAAAUCAUCCCAAGAAGCUUGAUUGGCCACAGGAGAAAUGGUUCCAGGUAGAUCCACACUCUGGAGAGAGGGUGCCACAGAGGAGGCUUGAGAUGUCAAUCACCACCAGCAGAGCCACCUCAAGUGAAUUCCAACAGAGGCUUCCCAGGGCAGCCCAGCCAGUCCUACUGCUUCAGAGAUGAAGAAGAGGGAAGAGGAUGAAAUCAGAAAAAAAAGGAAAUAUGUGUAAUUUGUAAAAUGUUAAUGAUACAAUUUAAAAAGCAAUUAUGUCUAUG
rnacentral:lncRNA from 1 species